rnacentral:rRNA from 1 species
AGACAGGUGCUGCAUGGCUGUCGUCAGCUCGUGUCGUGAGAUGUUGGGUUAAGUCCCGCAACGAGCGCAACCCUGCCUUUAGUUGCCAGCAGUUCGGCUGGGCACUCUAAAGGGACUGCCGGUGUUAAACCGGAGGAAGGUGGGGAUGACGUCAAGUCCUCAUGGCCUUUAUGACCAGGGCUACACACGUACUACAAUGGCCGAUACAAAGGGCAGCGACACUGCGAGGUGAAGCCAAUCCCGUAAAAUCGGUCUCAGUCCGGAUUGGAGUCUGCAACUCGACUCCAUGAAGUUGGAAUCGCUAGUAAUCGUGGAUCAGCAUGCCACGGUGAAUACGUUCCCGGGCCUU